CUCUGGGUUCGUUGGCAUGGGCUCACAGUUUACACACCGGCACCACCAGAUUGCCUUUUGCUGUUCCAACAACUCCCACUACUUGGUCUGAGUGUCUGCACGGUGGGUGGUUGAACUGUAGAGAGGGUGUGAUUGCUCUGCGACCUCCUCUUCAAGGGUUUCAGAGUACAGUGAGGAAAUGUGGCUGGAGUCAUUUCAUAUCAUGAGUCAGCAAAUGUCUGUUGACUCCUUCUGGAGACCAACAAAACUGGACAUCAGAAAGGUCCAAAGGUUUCGUUUGCAGCAAGUAUCUCAAACUGUUGACAAAGAGAGAAGAAAAUGAUCGUAUUUUCUUUUUAAUAAAACUGUUCAAGCCAG